UAUAGCAGCCAUAUCAUCCUGCAGCCCAAGACUGGUUGCCCACUGAAGCUAAGCAGGGUUGAGCCUGGUCAGUACCUGGGUGGGAGACCUCCUGGGAAAACUAGGUUGCUGUUGGAA
rnacentral:rRNA from 1 species